GAUGAAGAACGUAGCGGAAUGCGAUACGUAGUGUGAAUUGCAGAAUUCAGUGAAUCAUCGAAUCUUUGAACGCACAUUGCACCUCUCGGUAUUCCGGGAGGUAUGCCUGUUCGAGCGUCAUUUGUACCCUCAAGCUCUGCUUGGUGUUGGGUGUUUGUUCCGCCUCUGUGUGUGAACUCGCCUCAAAACAAUUGGCAGCCGGCGUACUUGUUUCGGAGCGCAGCACAUUUUGCGAUCCAGAUCAACGUACAGCGGCAUCCAAGAAGCCUUAUUUAACGCUCUUGACCUCGGAUCAGGUAGGGAUACCCGCUGAACUUAAGCAUAUCAAUAAGCGGAGGA
rnacentral:misc_RNA from 1 species